UUUCUACUAUGAGAUCAUGAAUUCUCCCGAAAGGGCUUGCCAUUUGGCCAAACAAGCUUUUGAUGAGGCAAUUGCAGAGUUGGACACCUUGAGUGAGGAAUCAUAUAAGGACAGCACUCUUAUUAUGCAGUUAUUGAGAGAUAACCUCACUCUCUGGACUUCUGACUUGCCUGAAGAUGGAGGUGAGGAUAACUUAAAGAGUGAAGAAUCCAAGCCUGCAGAAGGAGAGAGCCAGCAUUGACAAAAUUGAGAAUCCUGCACAUGGCAAAGGCAGGCUAGAUUAAUUUGCAGAAGUGGCUUCUUUUUAUUAGCUUUUCUUGCGAGGGGAUUGAAUUGGAUCAAAUGAAGUAGACAGUCCAUGAAGUGAUGGUGUUUUUGUGGUCUACCAAAGUCUGAUGAUAGAUAGAUCAAUUGUUUUUCCAUUUUUCCUUUUCUUUGUUCUACUUUCUUCUCUUGUACUUCUGUUAUUUUUCACCAUUAAAACAAAUUUCUACUUUUGUUUUCCUUGCUUUACUCUUAUUAAAUAUUCUUCUAUGUAUAGACCUUAUAUCAAAAUGAUGAGCAUUUUCAUUAUGAC
rnacentral:misc_RNA from 1 species